rnacentral:rRNA from 1 species
UACCAGCACCCCGAGUGGUCGGGACGUUUAUUGGGCCUAAAGCAUCCGUAGCCGGUUCUGCAAGUCUUCCGUUAAAUCCACCUGCUUAACAGAUGGGCCGCGGAAGAUACUAUAGAGCUAGGAGGCGGGAGAGGCAAGCGGUACUCGAUGGGUAGGGGUAAAAUCCGUUGAUCCAUUGAAGACCACCAGUGGCGAAGGCGGCUUGCCAGAAUGCGCUCGACGGUGAGGGAUGAAGGCUGGGGGAGCAAACCGG